ensembl:misc_RNA 7SK 7SK RNA
GGAUGUGAGGGCGAUCUGGCUGCAACAUCUAUCACCUCAUUGAUCGCCAGAGUUGAUUUGCCUGAUCUGACUGGCUAGGCGGGUGUCCCCUUCCUACCUCACAGCUCCAUGUGCACCCCUCCUGAAGCUGCACAUUCGGUGGAAGAGGACAACCAUCCCAGAUAGAAGGAGUGUACCGCUCUUCAGUCAAGAGUAUACGAUAGCUGCACUCCCCUGCUAGAACCUCCAAACAAGCUCUAGGUCCUUUUCUUUAUUUGGUUAUAAAGGUAACAGUGUAGCCUGCUAUAAUGACUCAAAUAGAAAUAAAUCCUUU